UACGUAGGGGGCAAGCGUUAUCCGGAUUUACUGGGUGUAAAGGGAGUGUAGACGGUUCUGCAAGUCUGGCGUGAAAGCCCGGGGCUCAACCCCGGGACUGCUUUGGAAACUGUGGAACUAGAGUGCAGGAGAGGUAAGUGGAAUUCCUAGUGUAGCGGUGAAAUGCGUAGAUAUUAGGAGGAACACCAGUGGCGAAGGCGGCUUACUGGACUGUAACUGACGUUGAGGCUCGAAAGCGUGGGGAGCAAACAGG
rnacentral:rRNA from 1 species